CCUACUUGCUAUACUUGUAAUAAUCAUUAAUACUGAAAAUAUGAAGACAAAUUCCAAAGACAAUAAGAAUUGUGGUAGCUGCAGAGGGCAGCUCAUGCUGCAGCCUUCACGGGCACCGACACGGCUAUGCAGCAGGUUGCUUUUGGUCCUGAUACUUAGUAGAGCAGCAGAGAAGCAAACUAGGACACACUCUAAUUACGGGCAGCACCAUCCAUGGCCUGCCACUCUGGACUAAAUAAAAAAGAGGAGUUGGAGGCAGCAUUUAUUGCUCUGCUCCCUGACUGUGGACUCCAAGUGGCAGCUGCCUUCUGUUCCUGCCAUCAGACCUUCCCCACCACGAUGGACUGUGCCCCAGACCUAAGAGCUAAAGUCAACCCUCUUCUUCAACUGCUCUUGUCCUGUAUUUUGUCACAGCAAUGAGACAAGUGGUGGACAGACGCCUGGCAACUGUUACAUACAUGUGUUUUUACUGCCAUCCUCUGAGAAACAGGCCCCUGACUUCAUCUUCAAAGAUGAAAGUUAAUUAUGUUCACCAUAAAACUUUGUUUUACUUUUAACAUAAUUUAUGGAAAGUUAUACAACUGAAACUAAAAGCUAUGCUCAUAAAAAUUCACUUACAGUAAAAGCAAUAAAUGUAAAUAAUUUGUUACUCAA